ACAAAGGUAAGGGACAGCUGCCAGAGAAUGAAGCAGAAGGCUGUGGGGUGAAGGGACUGCCAGUCUUCCGCCACUCAUUUUUGUGGUCCUUCCCUUCAUUGCCUUCCUUCUCCCAGACAGACUGGGCAUCCAGUUCCAAUCCAAAGGCUGCCCCUUUGACCAGGCCCAUUUUCUCCACCUCACAUCAGACAGCCAAUCGGCUGCUCAGACCUCGAAACCUCAGUAACCUAGAAGAUGUCUAGAAGUCAAUUGGGGUCAAGGAACAAGCCUCUACUCACAUGCAUGUGGGCAAAUGAAGUCACAGAACGAAUAACCUACCCUGCAUCCAGGCACUGAGUCCAGGGACACCCCCUGCUGCUGCCUCACCUAAGAGAAAGUGGCCCAAGAAGCGCUGGCCUGGUGCCUGCUGAUGCCAGGAGCCCUCUGCUACUGCCUGACACAAGCAUCCUGUGCUUCCCCCUCCCAGGCCCUCCCCGAAAGCGUGGGCCACAGGUACCACUCCCUAUGCCACUGAGCCCCACAUUUCCCAUCCCCCAAGCCACCCCCGCCAGCCCCAGAGCUUUCCUACAUUUAUGAUUUGUCCAAAAAGGUGAUGUCCUUCAGCCCCCAGAAGGUCAUCCUCCAGGCUGUGACCGUCACACAGGGGGUCCUGCACGGGGUCCUCACAGGCCUUCAGCCCAGCACAAAUUGUGGCCUGGUUUGACCUUUGAAAUAUCUCAACAUCUAAAAUUCAGAGCUUUUUUGGAAUAUUUAUUUUCCAUAGAUAUAAUUCUUUCAAAUAAAUUCCUUAGA